rnacentral:rRNA from 1 species
UACGAAGGGGGCUAGCGUUGUUCGGAAUUACUGGGCGUAAAGCGCGCGCAGGCGGUCCUUCAAGUCAGAGGUGAAAGCCCAGAGCUCAACUCUGGAAUGGCCUUUGAGACUAGAGGACUUGGGUACGGGAGAGGUGAGUGGAAUUCCGAGUGUAGAGGUGAAAUUCGUAGAUAUUCGGAAGAACACCAGUGGCGAAGGCGGCUGACUGGACAUGUAUUGACGCUGAGGUGCGAAAGCGUGGGGAGCAAACAGGG